UACCUGCAGCUCUAGUGGUGACCGCUAUUAUUGGGCCUAAAACGUCCGUAGCCGGUUUAGUAAAUGCCUGGGUAAAUCGUGUAGCUUAACUAUACGAAUUCUGGGUAGACUGCUAAACUUGAGACCGGGAGAGGCUAGAGGUACUCUUGGGGUAGAGGUGAAAUUCUGUAAUCCUGGGGGGACCACCAGUGGCGAAGGCGUCUAGCUAGAACGGGUCUGACGGUGAGGGACGAAGCCCUGGGGCACAAACCGGAUUAGAUACCCGGGUAGUCCAGGGUGUAAACGCUGCUUGCUUGAUGUUAGUUGAGCUCCGAGCCCAACUAGUGUCGGAGAGAAGUUGUUAAGCAAGCUGCCUGGGAAGUACGGUCGCAAGGCUGAAACUUAAAGGAAUUGGCGGGGGAGCACAGCAACGGGUGGAGCGUGCGGUUU
rnacentral:rRNA from 1 species